rnacentral:rRNA from 1 species
UUUUAAAUUGCUGUAGUAUUUUGACUAUACAAAGGUAUUGAAAUAAGAUUUUAAUUGAAUGCUAAGAGAAUGGAAUUUCAGAAAAUAGCUUUUUUAAUUUUAAAAAUUGAACUUUUUUUAAUUUGUGCAGAAACAAUUAUUUUAAUUAAGGACAAGAAGACCCUAAGAAUUUUUGAAUUUAAAUAAUAUAUUUAUGUAUUAAUUAAAUUUUAGCUGGGGCGGCUAAGAAAUAUUAAAAACUUUUUAAUUUAAAGCGACCCAUUAUUAAUGAUUAUAUGAAAAAUACUCUAGGGAUAACAGCGUUAUAUUUUUUGAUAGACCAUAUUGACAAAAAAGUUUGCGACCUCGAUGUUGGAUUAGGAUACUUUUUUAAUGAAGACG